rnacentral:rRNA from 1 species
UGGUGGGUAUUGCGAGCGUGACACACACGAACCCAUCCCGAACUCGACCGUGAAACCGCUCCGCGCCCAUGAUACUAUCGCUUAAGCGCCGGGAAAGUAGGUCCUCACCAAAU